rnacentral:rRNA from 1 species
AUUGAACGCUGGCGGCAGGCUUAACACAUGCAAGUCGAGCGGGGAAAGGUAGCUUGCUACUGGACCUAGCGGCGGACGGGUGAGUAAUGCUUAGGAAUCUGCCUAUUAGUGGGGGACAACAUCUCGAAAGGGAUGCUAAUACCGCAUACGUCCUACGGGAGAAAGCAGGGGAUCUUCGGACCUUGCGCUAAUAGAUGAGCCUAAGUCGGGUUAGCUAGUUGGUGGGGUAAAGGCCUACCAAGGCGACGACAUGUAGCGGGUCUGAGAGGAUGAUCCGCCACACUGGGGCUGAGAGACGGCCUAGACUCCUACGGGAGGCAGCAGUGGGGAAUAUUGGACAAUGGGCGCAAGCCUGAUCCAGCCAUGCCGCGUGUGAAGAAGGCCUUAUGGUUGUAAAGCACUUUAAGCGAGGAGGAGGCUACCUAGAUUAAUACUCUGGGAUAGUGGACGUUACUCGCAGAAUAAGCACCGGCUAACUCUGUGCCAGCAGCCGCGGUAACAC